UACGUAGGGUGCGAGCGUUGUCCGGAAUUAUUGGGCGUAAAGGGCUCGUAGGCGGUUUGUCGCGUCAGGAGUGAAAACUCGGGGCUUAACCCCGAGCCUGCUUCUGAUACGGGCAGACUAGAGGUAUGCAGGGGAGAACGGAAUCCUGGUGUAGCGGUGAAAUGCGCAGAUAUCAGGAGGAACACCGGUGGCGAAGGCGGGUCUCUGGGCCGUAACUGACGCUGAGGAGCGAAAGCGUGGGGAGCGAACAGG
rnacentral:rRNA from 1 species